rnacentral:rRNA from 1 species
AGUGAACGCUGGCGGUAGGCCUAACACAUGCAAGUCGAACGGCAGCACAGUAAGAGCUUGCUCUUACGGGUGGCGAGUGGCGGACGGGUGAGGAAUACAUCGGAAUCUACUUUUUCGUGGGGGAUAACGUAGGGAAACUUACGCUAAUACCGCAUACGACCUACGGGUGAAAGCAGGGGAUCUUCGGACCUUGCGCGAUUGAAUGAGCCGAUGUCGGCUUAGCUAGUUGGCGGGGUAAAGGCCCACCAAGGCGACGAUCCGUAGCUGGUCUGAGAGGAUGAUCAGCCACACUGGAACUGAGACACGGUCCAGACUCCUACGGGAGGCAGCAGUGGGGAAUAUUGGACAAUGGGCGCAAGCCUGAUCCAGCCAUACCGCGUGGGUGAAGAAGGCCUUCGGGUUGUAAAGCCCUUUUGUUGGGAAAGAAAAGCAGCAGGUUAAUACCCCGCUGUUCCGACGGUACCCAAAGAAUAAGCACCGGCUAACUUCGUG